rnacentral:rRNA from 1 species
AAUCAACGCUGGCGGCGUGCCUCAGACAUGCAAGUCGAACGAUUAAAGCUCUCUUCGGAGAGUGCAUAAAGUGGCGCACGGGUGAGUAACACGUAAGUAAUCUACCUUCGAGUGGGGAAUAACGUCCGGAAACGGACGCUAAUACCGCAUAAUGCAGCGGCAUCGCAAGAUGACAGUUGUUAAAGAUUUAUCGCUUGAAGAGGAGCUUGCGGCAGAUAGCUAGUUGGUAAGGUAAUGGCUUACCAAGGCUACGAUCUGUAACCGGUCUAAGAGGACGGUCGGUCACACUGACACUGAAUAACGGGUCAGACUCCUACGGAGGCAGCAGUGGGGAAUUUUGCGCAAUGGGCGAAAGCCUGACGCAGCAACGCCGCGUGG